CAUGCAGGCGGUUAUGCAAGCAGGAUGUGAAACCCCCGGGCUUAACCUGGGAACUGCAUUCUGAACUACAUGACUAGAGUAUUGCAGGGGGAGACGGAAUUCCAGGUGUAGCGGUGGAAUGCGUAGAUAUCUGGAAGAACACCAAAGGCGAAGGCAGUCUCCUGGGCAAAUACUGACGCUCAUAUGCGAAAGCGUGGGUAGCAAACA
rnacentral:rRNA from 1 species